AACGAACGCUGGCGGCAGGCUUAACACAUGCAAGUCGAACGCCCCGCAAGGGGAGUGGCAGACGGGUGAGCAACGCGUGGGAAUCUACCCAGUUCUGCGGAACAACAGUUGGAAACGACUGCUAAUACCGCAUACGCCCUACGGGGGAAAGAUUUAUCGGAAUUGGAUGAGCCCGCGUUGGAUUAGCUAGUUGGUGGGGUAAUGGCCUACCAAGGCGACGAUCCAUAGCUGGUCUGAGAGGAUGAUCAGCCACACUGGGACUGAGACACGGCCCAGACUCCUACGGGAGGCAGCAGUGGGGAAUAUUGGACAAUGGGCGCAAGCCUGAUCCAGCCAUGCCGCGUGAGUGAUGAAGGCCUUAGGGUUGUAAAGCUCUUUCAGUAGGGAAGAUAAUGACGGUACCUACAGAAGAAGCCCCGGCUAACUUCGUGCCAGCCGCCGCCGUAAUAC
rnacentral:rRNA from 1 species